CAGUCGAACGGAGUUAUCAUUUUUGAAGCGAUUAGCUUGCUAAGAGUGGAACAGUUGAUAACUUAGUGGCGGACGGGUGAGUAACGCGUGGGUAACCUGCCUUACACAGGGGGAUAACACUUAGAAAUAGGUGCUAAUACCGCAUAAGCGCACAGUCCCGCAUGGGACAGAGUGAAAAACAUUAGUGGUGUAAGAUGGACCCGCGUCUGAUUAGCUGGUUGGCGGGGUAACGGCCCACCAAGGCGACGAUCAGUAGCCGGCCUGAGAGGGUGGACGGCCACAUUGGGACUGAGACACGGCCCAAACUCCUACGGGAGGCAGCAGUGGGGGAUAUUGGACAAUGGGGGAAACCCUGAUCCAGCGACGCCGCGUGAGUGAAGAAGUAUUUCGGUAUGUAAAGCUCUAUCAGCAGGGAAGAAAGAAAUGACGGUACCUGAGUAAGAAGCCCCGGCUAACUACGUGCCAGCAGCCGCGGUAAUACGUAGGGGGCAAGCGUUAUCCGGAAUUACUGGGUGUAAAGGGAGCGUAGACGGUAAUGCAAGUCUGGAGUGAAAGGCGGGGGCCCAACCCCCGGACUGCUCUGGAAACUGUGUAACUGGAGUGCAGGAGAGGCAGGCGGAAUUCCUAGUGUAGCGGUGAAAUGCGUAGAUAUUAGGAGGAACACCAGUGGCGAAGGCGGCCUGCUGGACUGUAACUGACGUUGAG
rnacentral:rRNA from 1 species